AGGUUGUGUGUUUUCAAGUCAGCAUAAUUGAUGUAUUGAUAACUUACAUUUUGUUGUUUUCUAGUGUAAAAGACUUCAGAUUUCAGUCCUGUGUUUUAAAUUGUAGCCAUGCUUCCUUUUGAUUAUAGUCGGACUACGUAUUCUACAUCUGUUAUCUAACAUUCCUCAAAGAAAUCCACCUUGUAUGAUCAAUAGAUUUUUCCCUUUCUUGCUCUGUUUCUGUUUGCAUUUCAAAAGCUGAAGCUUUCCCUCACACCUACAUAUGAAUUAUACAUUUCACCUUUCUUCUCCAUAUUUGCAUAUUACAGUUCAAUUUCUUCCUUGAGUAGCAAUUUUUUAAUGAUAUCACUUAUUCCCGUUUUGUGUAUCUACAGGUUAGUUCAGUAUACAUACACAGGUUUACACUACUUAAACAUACAAGACAUACAAAAGACAAUAAAAACAUGCAGUUUGUUUAUAACAGAUGUUAAAGAAGGCCUAAAAUAUGUUAGAAAUGGUUUUAAAUUUGCAAUUCAGACCAUGUCAUAAUUGGAUUUUCACUGUCAUUCACGUGUUCAUUUCAGUGGAAGUAGGUGGUUUUCAUUCUCCUGCAUUAGUAGGUAAUUAUUGCAAAAUGUGUCAUGUCUUUCCCCAUUAAAUCCAGAGCACGAUGAAGAUGGCCACAGCUGUUAAGAUCCUCAUCAACCUGCUGCUGAUUCUACACUCUAGCAGAGCCCAGAAAUCCAGUGAUGACUCCAUCCACACCUCCCUCGUCAUGCUGUUCAGUAUGAGUCCACAGUCCCUCAUCAGCCUCCUGCUGCUGGCCCUGACCGUCGUCCUGUCCGGCAGCAUCUACCUAUGGGUCCUCAGAUACGUCUGCGUUGGCAGCUGCCAGCCUAUCGCGGUUGGCAGUGAAUCACAAGUCCUGGCUGGUAUGGUGUGAAGCCAUCCACCCCUGUCUGAGUGGAUCUGAGUAUCACUCACAUACAAGCUGGCUAACAAGUCACAUAGGAUGUUUCCCCUUCUUCACAGGUAGAAAUGACUGAUCAGACCUGUGAAUUGGCUCUAUCCACAAGGGAACUGGGACUUCUGACAUGUCAGGCCACAAUGUGUGACAUAAUGUUUGCUUAUAGCGUUUAGAUAAGACUUUUUCAUACUCUGUAGAAGACAUGUACAUUUUGCAUUUGGACAUGAAAGAAACUGUUAACCUAUUUAAAAUGCACGAUGCCCUGUAAAUUAUUAAAUGUAGCGUGGUUGCUGCCCACAUCCCUGAAGUUUUUGAGUGAUUCAGUUGAAGUUGGUUUCCCAGGUUGGAAAAUAACCAAGCAAUUAAGAGCUUCGUGGUGGGAUUAAGAAUAGGGAUGUUAUCUUCCUGUGCCAGGGCUGAUAAAGCAGAAACAUUACUACAGAAAUCAACAGAAAAGCCAACUCCAUCCAUAUUUUUCUUUGAUCUAACCCUAACUGCUUCUAGCAAGUGCUACUGCCACUUCCACGCCGACUGAAAAUGACAUUGACAGGAUGGUUAUGUCACUCACUAUAAAUUAGUUUGUAAAUUUUGAACUCAAAGAGAAAAUGGCUAUCAUGACUGAGAUGUCAGACUAAUGAGGGUGAAACCAUGGAUGACGCGUCGCCAUUUCCUCCCACUUUCCAAAAAUGAAAAAUAUUUGACGUAUGCUAUGAUUUUUUAGUUUAGCCCAUGUCCCUUAUGCUAACAAUGUAGGGGAUGGGAUUUAUGACCUAUACUCAAACCAAAAACACAUUUUCCCCAGGAAUGUGCAUGGCCCUCAAAGUUUAAUAUGAAUAAUCGUCAUACAUGGAGUUUGUCUGACAUCGCCCAAGUGGCCACAGACAAUCCACACACGACAUACAAUUCAAUCCAUCUGUCACCGCAACCCACAACCCGAUUUAAGGGGCGGUUGCUCUCUGCUCAAGCAGAUGGGCCAGCCACAGUCGGACUGAAAGGUUUCCAUUUACAGUAUCUACUGGAAGCCAAACAUACAUACUCGUGGACACGGGAAGUAGAGAGAGAGAGAGAGUUCAUGUGGAUGAGCAAAAGAACGGGAGCAUGAGAAUAUGGGCAAAAGUGUCAACAUGAUGUAAGGACUUUCUUUCAUCAUGAAGCCUAAUAUGUUACUCUGUCAUUAUGUGGUUUAUCAGUGAACUGUACCACACUGCAGACUGGAGCCUUUUUUAACGUAUAGACGUGUAAUAUACACUAUCGCAUUAUUAUGCAAUGAGCCGUUUCUACACCACUAGAUGCCGCUAACUCCUACACACUGGACUUUUGAAUAUAGGAUCCCUAAUUAUUAAUUAUUUGUCAUAAUCUGAGCAUGGCGCGCAGGGAGUCAGUCAAUGAACUGAAUAAUUCUGGUACCGUUUUGCAUCUCAGCAAUACAAGAGGGAGAAGUUUGGGCACCCCUGAGCAAUUUAAGCACUUAUUCAUUUGUUCAUUUGCUCUUAUUUCUUGCUAGUCUUCAUAAAAAGUCCAUGUAUGAUCAACCCGAGAAACUAGAAGUUUGGUUUUAUACACACUGAAGUAAAGACCCAAGGACUUGGCAUUAGAAAGUGCAAGACCAUGCUCCUUUUCUCUAUCUGAGUCCGAGAUACACGCACACAGUCCUCUAUUCUCUCGGUCCUCUUUCAUUUAAUUUUUAAAUAAAUAAAUCCUGUGAACUGAAUAGCACUCUAUCUGACCCUGUGUACUGUCUGUAUCUUUCUUUGAAUAAACAAGAAAACUACAUUUCAGAUGAAUGAUGAGUAACCUCACAGUCUGCCUGAAUAAUUGACUGAGCGUCUCCACAAGAUGGAAGCUAUCAAGUUUGCAUCUUAACGGAUCCAAUUACAUUUUAUCAGUCUCAUAAUUCAACAGCUUCAUAUCUCUUAAAAGCUUCGAUGAAUGAAUAAGUGAUCUGAGAGAAUCCUGAGCAGGCAGAGGGCUUAACAGUAGUGGCUUUUAAUAUUUUACCCUUGAAUUAUGCAUGUGUACGCACAUCCACAGCCUCCCACACACAUACACGCAUGACACUCAUACACAUGAAUAUGUUGAUUGAAGGAUAUUUGAGUGCUGUGGAGCUCCGAAUGUUGACAGCUUUUAUUAAUGUAUUCAGUUUUUAAUAAUUGUGGCUCAGACUGAUCUGCCUGACAUGAAAUCUCUCUGUUUAGCACCAGUACGGGCUUCCUACAACGGCAAGUUUCAAAGCCGUCCAACAUAAU
rnacentral:lncRNA from 15 species